AUUGAACGCUGGCGGCAUGCCUUACACAUGCAAGUCGAACGGCAGCACGGGUGCUUGCACCUGGUGGCGAGUGGCGAACGGGUGAGUAAUACAUCGGAACGUACCCAGUAGUUGGGGAUAACGGACCGAAAGGUGCGCUAAUACCGCAUACGACCUAAGGGUGAAAGCGGGGGACCGCAAGGCCCCGCGCUAUUGGAGCGGCCGAUGUCUGAUUAGCUAGUUGGCGGGGUAAAGGCCCACCAAGGCGACGAUCAGUAGCUGGUCUGAGAGGACGAUCAGCCACACUGGGACUGAGACACGGCCCAGACUCCUACGGGAGGCAGCAGUGGGGAAUUUUGGACAAUGGGGGCAACCCUGAUCCAGCAAUGCCGCGUGUGCGAAGAAGGCCUUCGGGUUGUAAAGCACUUUUGUCAGGGAAGAAAUCUUUCAGGCUAAUACCCUUGGAAGGAUGACGGUACCUGAAGAAUAAGCACCGGCUAACUACGUGCCAGCAGCCGCCGUAA
rnacentral:rRNA from 1 species